GCGUGAUUGCAGAUUCCGUGAAUCAUCGAGUCUUUGAACGCACAUUGCGCCCCCUGGUAUUCCGGGGGGCAUGCCUGUCCGAGCGUCAUUGCUGCCCAUCAAGCACGGCUUGUGUGUUGGGUCGUCGUCCCCUCUCCGGGGGGGACGGGCCCCAAAGGCAGCGGCGGCACCGCGUCCGAUCCUCGAGCGUAUGGGGCUUUGUCACCCGCUCUGUAGGCCCGGCCGGCGCUUGCCGAACGCAAAUCAAUCUUUUCCAGGUUGACCUCGGAUCAGGUAGGGAUACCCGCUGAACUUAAGCAUAUCAAUAAGCGGAGGAA
rnacentral:rRNA from 1 species